UAAAGAAAAAAAGAAAAGAAAGAAGAGAGAGAGGAAGAAGAAUCGUGGAGAUGGCUUCGACUCCGAAGCUUACUAGUACAAUUUCAUAUUCUCCAUCUCUUCAAAUCCUCUGCAAAAAGCUCCCAAUCGCAAUUCAUCUACCAUCAUCAUCAUCAUCAUCUUCUUCCUCUAGCUUUCUCUCACUCCCUAAAACCCUAACCUCUCUCUAUUCUCUGCGUCCCCGUAUCGCCGUACUCUCAAACCACCGGUAUUACCACUCUCGCCGGUUUUCUGUUCGUGCCAGUACCGAUAAUGGAGCUGACUCCGAGCGCCACUACGAUUUUGAUCUCUUCACUAUCGGUGCUGGAAGCGGCGGCGUCCGCGCUUCUCGCAUCUCAACUAGCUUCGGUGCAUCCGCCGCCGUUUGCGAGCUUCCUUUUUCCACCAUCUCCUCUGAUACAGCUGGAGGCGUCGGAGGAACGUGUGUACUGAGAGGAUGUGUUCCAAAGAAGUUGCUUGUGUAUGCGUCCAAAUACAGUCACGAGUUUGAAGACAGUCAUGGAUUUGGUUGGAAGUAUGAGACUGAGCCUUCUCAUGAUUGGACUACUUUGAUUGCUAACAAGAAUGCUGAGUUGCAGCGGUUGACUGGUAUUUAUAAGAAUAUACUUAGCAAAGCUAAUGUCAAGUUGAUUGAAGGUCGUGGAAAGGUUAUAGACCCACACACUGUUGAUGUAGAUGGGAAAAUCUAUACUACGAGGAAUAUUCUGAUUGCAGUUGGUGGACGUCCGUUCAUUCCUGACAUUCCAGGAAAAGAGUUUGCUAUUGAUUCUGAUGCCGCUCUUGAUUUGCCUUCCAAGCCCAAGAAAAUUGCAAUCGUUGGUGGUGGCUACAUAGCCCUGGAGUUUGCAGGCAUCUUUAAUGGUCUUAACAGUGAAGUUCAUGUAUUUAUAAGGCAAAAGAAGGUGCUGAGGGGAUUUGAUGAAGACGUCAGGGAUUUUGUUGGAGAGCAGAUGUCUUUAAGAGGCAUUGAGUUUCACACUGAAGAAUCCCCUGAAGCCAUCAUCAAAGCUGGAGAUGGCUCGUUGUCUCUGAAGACCAGCAAGGGAACUGUUGAGGGAUUUUCGCAUGUUAUGUUUGCAACUGGUCGCAAGCCCAACACAAAGAACUUAGGGUUGGAGAAUGUUGGCGUAAAAAUGGCGAAAAAUGGAGCAAUAGAGGUUGACGAAUAUUCGCAGACCUCCGUUCCAUCCAUUUGGGCUGUUGGGGAUGUCACUGACCGAAUCAAUUUGACUCCAGUUGCUUUGAUGGAGGGAGGUGCAUUGGCUAAAACUUUGUUUCAAAAUGAGCCAACAAAGCCUGAUUAUAGAGCUGUUCCUUGCGCCGUUUUCUCCCAGCCACCUAUUGGAACAGUUGGUCUAACCGAAGAGCAGGCCAUAGAACAAUAUGGUGAUGUCGAUGUUUUCACAUCAAACUUUAGGCCAUUAAAGGCUACGCUUUCAGGACUUCCAGACCGGGUGUUCAUGAAACUCAUUGUCUGUGCAAACACCAAUAAAGUUCUCGGUGUUCACAUGUGUGGAGAGGAUUCACCAGAAAUCAUCCAGGGAUUUGGGGUUGCAGUUAAAGCUGGUUUAACUAAGGCCGACUUUGAUGCAACAGUGGGUGUUCACCCCACAGCGGCUGAGGAGUUUGUCACUAUGAGGACUCCAACCAGGAAAAUCCGCAAAGACUCCUCUGAGGGAAAGGCAAGUCCUGAAGCUAAAACAGCUGCUGGGGUGUAGAGAAGGUUGCAAAAAAGAUUGUAUUUACGGCAUUGGAGCUCCCUGACAAGGAGAACAUUGUGUCUGUGAAGAAGAAGAACUUUUUUUUUUUCUGGCAGAGAAUAAUUUUUGAUAAUGUCGCGUGGAGAUAUGAUCGCCGUCCUGCAAUACUUUUGAUCGGUUGACCUACGCGACCAAAUUCCUCGAGAGAGGUUGUAACUUAUAUCGAAAGAGCUCUAAAAACUGAAGCUUUCAGUUCUUGUGACAUCGUAAAGAAGGCUGUAUAGAUAAAACAGUUUCGAGUGUUCUUUGGAUUUGUAGUUUUUUUCUUUUCUUUUUGUGUUGAACUCGUCUCGUUGAAGCCACCAUUUGGGACUUCAUAUUAGCAUCGUUGCGAAUGAAAUAAACUUUUGAGAACUCAA